rnacentral:lncRNA from 1 species
CGAGACGGGGUGUAACCGCGUCAGUCGUGUAUUGGCUGCGAGAGGGUGAGGGUCUUGCAUAGAACAAAGGAAAGGCAAAAAAAAAAAAAAAGUGAAAUAAGGUAUUCCAUUGCACAGAAAAAGUGAUCUGAGACAGCGUUUGGACAAAACUAGCAGUAACUACAGCAGAUCUUCUAGGUAAGCGCUGAGGAGGCUAUGGUCAGUCUAUUGGGUCUGCAGCACUCCAGAUUUGGUAAGUGGGCGCUGCAGAAGGGGUGUUUUGGGGCGUGAGGUAGGAAGGGGGGGAGGGAAGGGG